GAUGAACGCUGGCGGCGUGCCUAAUACAUGCAAGUCGAGCGAACAGAUGAGGAGCUUGCUCCUCUGACGUUAGCGGCGGACGGGUGAGUAACACGUGGAUAACCUACCUAUAAGACUGGGAUAACUUCGGGAAACCGGAGCUAAUACCGGAUAAUAUAUUGAACCGCAUGGUUCAAUAGUGAAAGACGGUUUUGCUGUCACUUAUAGAUGGAUCCGCGCCGCAUUAGCUAGUUGGUAAGGUAACGGCUUACCAAGGCAACGAUGCGUAGCCGACCUGAGAGGGGGAUCGGCCAAACGGGAACUGAGACACGGUCCAGACUCCUACGGGAGGCAGCAGUAGGGAAUCUUCCGCAAGGGGCGAAAGCCUGACGGAGCAACGCCGCGUGAGUGAUGAAGGUCUUCGGAUCGUAAAACUCUGUUAUUAGGGAAGAACAAAUGUGUAAGUAACGAUGCACGUCUGGACGGUACCUAAUCAGAAAGCCACGGCGAACUACGU
rnacentral:rRNA from 1 species